rnacentral:rRNA from 1 species
AGCGAACGCUGGCGGCAGGCCUAACACAUGCAAGUCGAACGAACCUUUCGGGGUUAGUGGCGGACGGGUGAGUAACACGUGGGAACGUGCCUUUAGGUUCGGAAUAACUCAGGGAAACUUGUGCUAAUACCGAAUGUGCCCUUCGGGGGAAAGAUUUAUCGCCUUUAGAGCGGCCCGCGUCUGAUUAGCAAGUUGGUUGAGGUAAUGGCUCACCAAGGCGACGAUCAGUAGCUGGUCUGAGAGGAUGAUCAGCCACAUUGGGACUGAGACACGGCCCAAACUCCUACGGGAGGCAGCAGUGGGGAAUCUUGCGCAAUGGGCGAAAGCCUGACGCAGCCAUGCCGCGUGAAUGAUGAAGGUCUUAGGAUUGUAAAAUUCUUUCACCGGGGACGAUAAUGACGGUACCCGGAGAAGAAGCCCCGGCUAACUUCGUG